rnacentral:lncRNA from 14 species
CUGAUUCUGCAGACAAAAGGAAAUUCCUACAGGAAUGAUCACACGACUCAGGAAGCAUGGCACAGCUGAACUCCUUGGUGACCCUCAGCCAUAGGGACUUACCCAGUUUUGUCUGCACCCCACUCACAGUGAGUAAGGUCAAGACUGAAGAUCAGAUCAAGAACAGCCACAGGAUAUCUUGUUGCCUUAUACAUGUCAAGAGAAUACUCCUAGGAAUUUUUGAGUAAAUGUUAUAAUUUACUGUUGUAAUAAACUAAUAAAUACC